UCCUUACUAGCUCAGAGGGUAAAGCGUCUGCCUGCAGUGCGGAAGACCUGGGAUCAACCCCUGGGUCAGAAA
rnacentral:tRNA from 1 species